UCGAAAACAUUAAUAAAUUGUAAUUAUUCUAAACUUUUAGUGUAUAAAGAAACAAAAUGGCAAUGCAAGCAUGUUUUACAGGUGUAUGCUUAUCAACAAAUCACGUUUUACACAGCUUAAAACAUUCAUAUAUAAAUUUAUGAUGUAGGAACUUUAAAUCAAUCAUACUUCUGUUUGUAUGAUGUGAAAUGUCUUUAAGUGCCCUUCGAUUGCACUAGCUGGAAUCUUUCUCAAGUUGAAUGGAACGCAGCAUUAAAGUUCUUCAUGACCUCACUCCUUCAUCAGGCCACACCCCUUUAGACCCUUUGACUCCACCUCCCAAAGAUAACAGCUGCUGGCCAUUGGUUGCUCACAUGGCUGUGGCACACAUCAGGGGUGGGGCUUCACUGGCCAAUAGCAUGUCUGCUUGCCCUGGCACCUCCUCUGUCUCCGCCCUUCCAGUGCAAUUAUUAAUACUGUCCGUCUCUUUGCCAUCUUAUCCAACUCAUUUUUAUCUAAUGUCCCUUCAGGGAUUUACAUUUUCAUUCAUUUGAUCUAUUAAGACUUCCCGCUUUACCUUAACCGUCCAAUCAUCAUGCUCAAACGCUGUUUUUGUUUGUCGGACAAGGGAGGGGCUAUAUUUACACUCAUUAAUAUGCUAAUGUCCUGUUGAUAUGGGUAUGUAUUUAUUGUGACAGUUGUUUUGUUCAUGUCUUCAUGAUUUUACCCUGUGGAGCACCCAGCCGAGAACCUCGCAACCUCAUUGGUUUCGCCGGGUAUAUAUAUAUAUGUAAUGGUCUAAAUGUACUCUGAGCCAAAUGUACAGGUUAACCAGACAUUUAACAUACAUCAUGCGAGCUGUGAGCGUUUGUAUGGCUCUCUUAACCUGAAGAAUAGACUUGGAGGUUUUUAAUUCAACUGAUUAUUUCCCCUUUUUAAUGUAAUCACUGUGGUUUGACAAAGGGGAGUUUGAUUUUUCAGGGGGUUUUUUUUCUUUUGUGAAGAGAUUUUUUUUCCGUCAUCUUCCACUGUUUACUCACCAUCCCUGAGGCACAUACUAAUUUAAACUUUUCUUUUUAGAUUUUUUAAUUAUCUCUCACAGUCCUUUUGGGUCCAGGAGAGGUUUUCCAUAUUUAAAAUUUUAGUUUUUUUUUUCUUUUAUUAUUAUUUUUUCUUGAUUCUUAAGUUUGAAGCCCAAAACAUCUACAUCUCUACAGGCAGCAUCGUGGAAAUGAAAAUUCGCACAUGCCACAGAUCUGCUAUUUAAUGCUGAAUGCUUUUAUUAUGUUUAACAAAGCGCUUAUUGAUGAAUUAUGAUGUUUUAUGUUGAAUGAACUGAGCAGCCUCUCAGAAUAACUGACUCACUCGCUAUUGAUGAACCUGUAAAUAUAAAAAUGUGUUAUAAAUAAGAAAUGGUUUUGAAAGCGGAGAACAUCUCACCAUCUUGAAGAGGAAAACGUCAUUUCAUGUCUUCCGAACAUAUACACUUUCUCAAGUGCUCUGUCUCUCUUUGAGAACAAAACAAUAGCUAAACAACUUCAUUUUAGCCUUUUCAGCAUUGUUAUACUUUGCUGGCUAUCACCAUAUGACAUAUACAUACACACCUGUCAGUGACAAGCAUCGUUUGCCCUCGGCCCUUACCUGCUCUAUUUGGGGCUUCAAAACACCAUUCCCGAAUCAGAGAAUUA